rnacentral:rRNA from 1 species
GAUGAACGCUGGCGGCGUGCCUAACACAUGCAAGUCGAGCGAACAGAUUUAAGGAAGCCCUUCGGGGUGGAAUUAAUGAAGUUAGCGGCGGACGGGUGAGUAACGCGUGGGCAACCUGCCCUGUGCAGGGGGAUAACAUACCGAAAGGUAUGCUAAUACCCCAUAAGACUACAGUAUCACAUGAUAAAGUAGUCAAAGAUUUAUCGGCACAGGAUGGGCCCGCGUCUGAUUAGCUAGUUGGUGGGGUAACGGCCUACCAAGGCGACGAUCAGUAGCCGACCUGAGAGGGUGAUCGGCCACACUGGAACUGAGACACGGUCCAGACUCCUACGGGAGGCAGCAGUGGGGAAUAUUGCACAAUGGGGGAAACCCUGAUGCAGCAACGCCGCGUGAGCGAAGAAGGCUUUCGAGUCGUAAAGCUCUGUCCUAAGGGAAGAAUAAUGACGGUACCUUAGGAGGAAGCCCCGGCUAACUACGUGCCAGCAGCCGCAGUAAAAC